ACUUUAAAAUGGCUUUCAGUGAGUGUUGUUAUAAAUGAAAAGGUAAUACUUUGCUAAUUUAGUUAUAACAUAUUCUUUACAUGCAUUAUCAUGUGAAAAGUUUUUCUCUGGUCCCUAACCACAUAGUCUGCUUAACAGAUGUGUCCAGAUCUCACCAUUCUAUAACUACAAAGUAAGGUGACAUUCUAAAUAUAUAUCUGUGCAAGUCCAUGUCACCAUGAGAUUCUGUUAUUUACUUUUUUUUUUUAAACAUUUAUUCAUGUAUUUUUGAGAGAAUGAGUGCCAUGAGCAUGAGUGGGAGAGGGGCAGAAAGCAAGAAUCCCAAGCAGGCUCUGUGCUGUCAGUGCAGAGCCAAACGAGUAGUUCCAGCUCACAGACCUUGAGAUCAUGACCUGGGCCGAGAUCAAGAGUCAGACUCUUAACUGAGCCACUCAAGUGCCCUGCUGUGUGUGAUUUUUAAAAAGCCAAAAUAGGGGCGCCUGGGUGGCUCAGUUGGUUAAGCGUCCGACUUGGGCUCAGGUUACAAUCUCGCGGUCCGUGAGUUCGAGCCCCGCGUCGGGCUCUGUGCUGACUGCUCAGAGCCUGGAGCCUGUUUCAGAUUCUGUCUCUCUCUCUCUCUCUCUCUCUCUCUGACCCUCCCCCGUUCAUGCUCUGUCUCUCUCUGUCUCAAAAAUAAAUAAACGUUAAAAAAAAAAAAUUUUUUUUUUAAAAACCAAAAUAACAGUGGCUUAAACACAAAAAGGUUUAUUGCUUUCCACCUAAAAGAAGUGUGAAUGUCUACAGUUCAGGGCUGUGUGGUAGUUGCACUGUAAUCAGGGACAGAGCUUCCUUCUGUUGUUAUUCAGCUUUCUGUCCUAGGCUCCUGGAGCCAGCUCCAAGUGUGUGUGUGCAUGUGUGGUGGUCUGGUGGGGGGAGAAGGCGGAGAUUCCAAGCAAUUCUGCAGGGAUGCUACCUGUGGUGGUUCUAUAGUUAAACUCAGUUCUGACACUGUCUUCCCAGAGAUAGUAUCAAAACCCACAGGUUAAGAGCUAAGUCAUACAAGACUGUCUCCUCUCCCAGCUCCCCUUCAGAAGCCAGCCACAAGCCCAGAUUGUUACCUGUACUCACUGACUAGCUAUUAAUCAGAGGUUUCCAUGACCCCCGGCUUGGGUUUGAUUAAUUUGCUAGAGGACUCACAGAACUGAGAGAAAUGUUCUACUUACUAUCCAAUAGUUAGUUUAUUACAGUUCUUUGUUUUUUGUAUACUGUUUAUAGUUAUUUAUUGCAAAAGUGUAUAACUUUUUGAACAACCAAAUGGAAAAGAUUCAUAGGGCAAGUUAUGUGGGAAGGGAUGCAGGAGUUUCUAUGCUCUCAGUGCACCAUUCUUACCACAAGUCCACAUGUUCACCAAUCCAGAAGCUCUCCAAACCCUAUCCUUUUGGGUUUAUUUUUUAAAGUUUAUUUAUUUUGAGAGAAAGAGAUUGAAAGCACAUGUGCAAGCUGGGGGAGGAGCAGAAAGAGAAGGAGAGAUUCCCAAGCAGGCUCCAGGCUGUCUGUCAGAGCAGAGCUUGAUGCAGGACUUGAACCCAUGAACUGAGAGAUCAUGACCUGAGCCGAAAUCAAGAGUCAACCUUUUGAGCCACCCAGACACCCCUCCUUUUGGCUUUUUAUGUAGACUCUCUUACAUAGGUAUGACUGAUUAAAUCACUGGCCUUUGGUGAUUGAUUCAACCUCCAGCCCCUCUCCCAGGAGGUGAGGGGGUGGCCCUGAAAAUUCCAACUCCGGUGACCAGCCCAUCUUUAGGUGAUCUAGGGACAUUCCAAAAGCCACCUCAUCAACAUAAGAAAAGAUACCUUUAUCUUCCUCAUGAAAUUCCAAGGGUUUUAGGAGCUCUGUGCCAGAAACAAGGACAAAGACCAAAUAUGUAUUUCUUAUUAUU